GAGACAUGAUAGUUUGCACGGAGGCAGCGCAACCAGAACUGGAUCCACAUGCAUACUACGCCGUCCAAGACUGCGCCCGCCUUCGCCAGCUGCGGCAAAUCCCAGCGGGUUCGUCCGUCAGCACCGGCAAAUCCCGCCCACGGCCGGACAUCGAGAUGAGGCCCUCGGCUGGACUAUUUCAACGCGGUCGAUCCAAAUCGGAGGCCCAUGUACUGAAUGCGACCAAUGGCCCUCCUUCUUGUUCGUACACCAGACCAGACCAAUUAGCCUAACAGAAGGAACGUUUCUCCUUCUCGACGACAACUCUUUUCCCCGGCGACUUAAUGAUGGAUUCAUGGUGGUAAUUUCGUCCCGUUCAUUACCAUUCAUCUAAUUAUGCCACCUCCUGUGAUUAUUCUGUUUAAUGCUACAGUUACUUUCAGCUCUACCUUCUCUUCAAUAUAAAUAUGUGGAGACAGGAACCUAUCUUUCCUCAGUGCUUCCAUCCUCUUCUCGGAAUCCUCCUUUCUUCCACAUUCUUAUUCACGGAUAACUGCGAGCUGUUGUGUGUCCUUCAUUAUAUUUCACAAUGGCUGCUGGACAGGUACGCUUGCUGAAUCAUUGUAUUGCACCCCUCUUUUAAAAUUAUUUGUUAUGCAUUUGCCAAUUUCAAUUAGAAUUACCUUUACACUGUGUGGUGCUAUUAACUUUUUAGUUCAACCAAAUGUUUGCAUAUAACUGCAUCCUUCUCUGCACAUGUCGUACCUUUUCAUCAAAAAAGUAUUAGAUGUUACAAAAGUAACAGCCUCAAGGAAGUGAGUUCCAACGGUAAUAGGAAGGCUAUCAUAGGAUGAGCAAGACAAAAGAUAUAGAAACUGCAAAAAGUGUACACUCGAGUUCCUGCAACACAGCUGCACUUUGGUUCACUGCAAACAAAUUAGUUUUCAGCUGUGUAUGCUAUUUUGUGGCACCCCAAACAGGAAAGGAACCAAGCAUCUGAUGCUAACCUCACUACAGUACUUUAUGGUACGAUGUUACUUCUACUUUGCUGCAGGUGUGAAAAGGCAUACGACAUAGUCAUUUAGAUCAGUGGGAAAAAAUAGGUAAUCUUAACAGCCUAAAGUUCAGACUUUGGAACGCCAAACUCCGAUUCAUACACUCCAUGUCAGCAGUUCCUGAAUACAUAUCCCAAAUAACGAGCAAGCCCUGAAACAAACAGCAGUAAGUCAGUUAGCUAGCUAAAUACUGGCUUCCAUGACAUUACAGAGACCAAGGUAGAUGGAGAGGCAACAGGGAAGCAACCCUGAAACAAGGAGCAUGCCUGAAGAACGAUCCGAGGCCGAAGGUGAGACAGGAGGAGUAAAGCAAGAUGAUUGCUCGCUGUGCAUUAUAUAGAAGGACAGGAGAAACAUACGAUAACACUGAUCUUAAUAACCAUAAUUGCAGGAGAGAAAGGGUCAAAAUUUGUACCAUCAUGAGUCAUGAGUGUGAUGCCGCCAGCGGUUUCAGUUUGCAAAACAUCAUUACAACGCCACCAGCACAAGCGGAAUGGUAGGCGUUGCUUGCUCCGAGGAUGUUGGAAAAUGAAUGUGACACAGCUGUUUUCAGAAAUCCGUGAAUAAAAGUCUGGAACAAAUGAAGAUGAAAAUACUUGGAUCAAACAAAGACAAUAAUCCCUGGAACAAGUAACAAUAUGUCAUUUAGCAACCUAAUUCUGGCCAGAAUGUAGUUUAGUACAAAACUAAAAUUGCACGCAAGCAGAAAGACAGAAUCUCCAGUCAACAAUGAUGGUUGUUACUUUUGUAAUGGUCGUCUGUAUUGUUAUAGAUUUCUUAUUCUUAAUAGGAAUUCGGGGAACAAGCUGAUGAUUAGGUACACAGACAAUGAUAGAUAAUCUAUCUUAGGGAUGGAUGCAGAACCAAUCUGCUAACAUAGUAUCACGACAUGGUGUAGAGGUACAUCAGGUGGUUAAUUCUGCCAAGGAGUGUGUACCAAGGUUUGAUGGAUUGAAGGACAUAUUAGAUGUGUACAGGGGCGCCAUUUGUAAUGACCUGAUCGAGAUGAGGGUAAAUACCAGAUUGUUCUAUAUGUGCAGUCUCGAAGUGCCUCACAUCCUUUGAGGUUGAUCCAUCCCAGUAAACUAAGCUUUCACUAUGUUUAAUCGGAGAAAGAGAGGAAGAUCUUUAGAUUUGUUUAUGUUUUUGGACUGAUUGUUGAUCAAGGUAGUAACUGUUCCUACUCUGUUUGGCAUUACCCAAAUUCUAUCUCGUAUUCAUUGUUUGUAGCAUGAAGUAGAGUAAUAAUUUAGUUCAGCUAAUGAUAUAGUUUUUUUUGUAGAUGUAAUUAUAAUUUUCAUAGGAUAUUGGAUCCAUUUGUUUAAAUUAUAAUUGCUUUCUUCCAAGAUUGUAUAUGAUGAAAGCCUGUCAGUCGUGGGGUCAGUAAUGGAUUGUUAUAAUCAUAUGCAUCUUCACAUAAGGAAAACCGAAAUAGGGAAACCUUCACCAUAGAUAUGCUUCAUAAUCCAUAGAAUAGGAGUGUUAAUUAUUGGGCUUUGUGGGAACUGCUCAGGAGAAGUUGGCAUGUCGCAUACAUAUUUUUGUAUCAAUGAAGGAUUCAGGGCCUUCUUGAUGUCAACUGUGAAGUUUGAACAAACAUCAAAAAGAUAUAUUUCCUUUGUUUCUCUUUUAUCCUACUUGUGUGUGGGAGAAUCUAGACGCUGAGGUACUUUUCUCUGUUUUUAUCAUUCAUUUUUUAUUCACAAUACUCUUGUUUAGCAGAACAAAAAAUACUGAAAUUUGCCACACAGAAGUCCUCUAUUACAUAGUGGCAAAACUUAUAAUUUUGUACCCAGUUUUCCCUUUGAAGCUUCUUGCUUCACUUUCCCAAGUAUUGGUUGAUGAAAUUCUUCUUAUAAAAGGCGCGAGUCUACUCGGCCAACGACGAUAAAUGUAGUGUAUUUCAUCGCCGACCUUGUUUGGCUAACAAUUAAAUGUAGUUUAUUUCUUUAUAUCUCUUGAAAAAUUGAGAAUCAGUAAGUAGCUUUGGCUGAUGGAUUAGAGUUGCACUCAUUGGUUGUACUAUCGAAUGGCGCUCCAUCGAGGACACAUGUGGUGUGAAUUACUCUGAAUAUGAACAUGCAUAGUUUAUUAGCUCUAAAUUUGUAGGAAUCGCAAUAGGAAAACCAUUAACUCCAAAUAGGAAAAACUACUAAUACAACUUGCAAUAUUUGGAUUUCAUAAUGGAGUUUUUGUUUGCUAAUUGAUUUCAGAAGGGAGUGAUUAGUUUAAUUACCAUAUGCUUAGUUCAGUGCUCGCCUUUUUACUACUUCUACAAAAGUCUACUACAAGUCACCGACUCACUGCUGUCACUGUAAGAUGCCAUAAGUAAUGGCCCCUGCCUUGAAGUGCAUGCAUGUUCGAAAGAGUACUCUGGAUCAGAUGUGCCUCGGCAACUGCAAUACGGAAGCACAUUAGACACGCUCCUGAUGAUCUUGAUCGCAUGUACACCAUUCACGGCACUCUAGCUGAUUUCAUUGUAGCACUAGCUCUCUCCUGUAUACCUUUUGUAGUGUGUAAACACAGCCCCGGUAAUCAAUACAAUCAAGGAGAGUUCUGGAAUCUUUCUAUGCCCAUAUAAGAUAUGAAGUGAGCACAACAAUGCCAUUGUUGGUGUCAUAGUGCUCAUGACAUUACUGAAUAUGUUUUGAAAUCAUGGAGGCUGUUGGAAAGAUGGAGCUCUCACUCUUCAUAGCAGAUGAUAGGAAGCUAGAAUGGAGCAGCUCGAUGCCUCAAGUAGUUCUGAACUUUUGUGCUUAGGUUUGUAUCUCCUCCCGAAUCCUUGCAAUGUAUUAGUCAUGGUUAUUAUGAUGAUGUUUUUAACAAUUAAGUUGGGUUCAUUAAAGAGAAAGCUUUAUUUGUGACCUGGUCGACAAUAAUGUGUGUGUAGGCAUCAUGCGAAUAACAUUUAUGUGAUAAGUCAGUUUGAAAGUAUAUUUCUGGAGUGGCCCGUAUGAAAAUAACUUUGAUUUUCAUGCGUACAAUGUGAAUGAUAUUGCAUUUCUAUAUGAUAUUUGUAACAUUUUUUGCCACACAAUAUAUAUGUACUAUAUAAACCUUGAUAACCAUUUUCAUUGUUCUU